rnacentral:rRNA from 1 species
UACGUAGGGGGCAAGCGUUGUCCGGAUUUAUUGGGCGUAAAGAGCGUGUAGGCGGCCAGGUAGGUCCGUUGUGAAAACUCGAGGCUCAACCUCGAGACGCCGAUGGAAACCAUCUGGCUAGAGUCCGGAAGAGGAGAGUGGAAUUCCCGGUGUAGCGGUGAAAUGCGCAGAUAUCAGGAGGAACACCGAUGGCGAAGGCAGGUCUCUGGGCCACUACUGACGCUGAGAAGCGAAAGCAUGGGGAGCGAACAGG